rnacentral:rRNA from 1 species
GGGGGCAACCCCUUGAGAGUGGCGAACGGGUGAGUAAUAUAUCGGAACGUGCCCAGUCGUGGGGGAUAACGUAGUGAAAAUUACGCUAAUACCGCAUACGAUCUAAGGAUGAAAGCGGGGGAUCGCAAGACCUCGCGCGACUGGAGCGGCCGAUAUCAGAUUAGGUAGUUGGUAGGGUAAAGGCCUACCAAGCCAACGAUCUGUAGCUGGUCUGAGAGGACGACCAGCCACACUGGAACUGAGACACGGUCCAGACUCCUACGGGAGGCAGCAGUGGGGAAUUUUGGACAAUGGGCGAAAGCCUGAUCCAGCCAUUCCGCGUGCAGGAUGAAGGCCCUCGGGUUGUAAACUGCUUUUGUACAGAACGAAAAGGUUUCUAUUAAUACUAGGGGCUCAUGACGGUACUGUAAGAAUAAGCACCGGCUAACUACGUGCCAGCAGCCGCGGUAAUACGUAGGGUGCAAGCGUUAAUCGGAAUUACUGGGCGUAAAGCGUGCGCAGGCGGUUAUAUAAGUCAGAUGUGAAAUCCCCGGGCUCAACCUGGGAACUGCAUUUGAGACUGUAUAGCUAGAGUACGGUAGAGGGGGAUGGAAUUCCGCGUGUAGCAGUGAAAUGCGUAGAUAUGCGGAGGAACACCGAUGGCGAAGGCAACCCCCUGGACCUGUACUGACGCUCAUGCACGAAAGCGUGGGGAGCAAACAGGAUUAGAUACCCUGGUAGUCCACGCCCUAAACGAUGUCAACCGGCUGUUGGGUCUUAACUGACUCAGUAACGAAGCUAACGCGUGAAGUUGACCGCCUGGGGAGUA